rnacentral:rRNA from 1 species
UACGUAGGGUGCGAGCGUUGCCCGGAUUUAUUGGGCGUAAAGGGCGCGUAGGCGGCCACGCACGUCCGUUGUGAAAUCGCCCGGCUCAACUGGGCGGGGUCAGCGGAUACGGUGUGGCUAGAGCAAGCUAGGGGGCAAUGGAAUUCCCGGUGUAGUGGUGGAAUGCGUAGAUAUCGGGAGGAACACCAGUGGCGAAGGCGGUUGCCUGGAGCUUUGCUGACGCUGAUGCGCGAAAGCGUGG